UACGGAGGGUGCAAGCGUUAUCCGGAAUCACUGGGUUUAAAGGGUGCGUAGGCGGAUUUUCAAGUCAGAGGUGAAAGCUUCUCGCUCAACGGGAAAGAUGGCCUUUGAUACUGUUAAUCUUGAGUACAGUUGAGGUGGGCGGAAUGUGUGGUGUAGCGGUGAAAUGCUUAGAUAUCACACAGAACACCGAUUGCGAAGGCAGCUCACUAAACUGUUACUGACGCUGAGGCACGAAAGCGUGGGGAGCAAACAGG
rnacentral:rRNA from 1 species